AUUUUUGCAGGUUUGUGAAAGGGGUUGAGUUCUGGUUUUGAUUCUCAGCUUGGUCACUGUUAGUGUAUAGCAGAACUACUGAUUUAUGAUGCUAAUUUUGUAUCCUGAAACUUUGCUGAAUUCAUUUACCAGUUCUAGGAGCUUUUUGGAUGAGUUUUAAGGGUUUUCUAGGUAUUCGACCAUAUCAUCAGCAAACAACGACAGUUUGACUUCCUCUUUACCAGUUUGGUUGCCCUUUAUUUCUUUCUCUUGUCUGAUUGCUCUGGCUAGGACUUCCAGUACUACAUUGAAUAGAAGUGGUGAAAGAGUCUUAACUAUAGGAGCUAAGGUGAGGAGGGGCACUGGUCACAGGUUGUCAGGUUAAUGAUAAAGGAAUGGUCAAGCAGUGAAUAGUUUUUAAAACUAUUCUGGAAGCCAGAAGAGAAUAAGUAAAUUGAUGUGUGAUAAAGUAGAUAGGAUUUCAGCAUCUAGUUAUGUGCAGAAUAGCUUAGUUGUUAAAGGUCACCACAUACGCCUAGGCCAUCGGUGUAUGUAUGUGCUAUAUGUCAGUGUUUCCUGAAUCUGUACGAAGCUUAGCCUUGAAUUCACCACCCAAACUUUCAUGAUCCGUCUCUUGAUUCCAUCAUAAGCUCUUUGCUUUGGAAUUUAUUUUUACUUUUUUGGGAUUGACUUAUUCAUGUUGUUUCUUUGGUCCUGAGCCUUCUUCCCAUCAGAGGUGGUCUCUUUAAUUGCUUAUAAAUCCACACCACCUAUAGGUUCAUAAGCUGUAAGGCCCUAAAUUCCCACUCUGGCAAUACCACUAGGUUUCCUUUUACUCCAGUAGAGCAGUGUUAAGACUGGAAACUUGGCCAAUAAGUGACGAGAUGGACAGGAAAUGAAUGAUUCUGAAAUUACCAGGAUGGAUUUAAAAUCUAUUUUAAGUUCCAAUUGAAUGCAGCAAACAAGUAGCAGAUUUUGGAAGGAACAAUCCACAAUCCAGAAUUUUAGAAUCACACAAACAGUAAACUGGGUUAUGACCACUGAUUCCAGGAAAAAAUUAAAAAGUGCCACAUACUCUCUGUUUUGGUUUUAGGCAUUUUCUGGGAUCAGGUUUCCUUGAAGUAGAGCCUCAAUUAAGACAAUGCCUAAAAGUAGAAAAGAGAGUGCUAUGGUUUAAACAUUUGUCCCCUCCAAGAGUCAGGUUGAAAUUUAAUUGGUAUUGUAACAGUAUUAAAAGAUGGGGCUAUUAAGAGAUGAUCAAGCCAUGAAGGCUUUACCCUCAUGAAUAGAAUUAUUGCCAUGAUAAAAGGGCAAAUUUGGCCUUCUUUUGCUUCUCUCUUGACUCUCUUCUACUUUUCUGCCAUGUGAGGAACAGUGUUCCUGCCCUCACAAGGAUGCAGCCUUCAAGGUGUCAUCUUGGAAGCAGAGACUGGGCCCUCAUCAGACACCAAACCCGUUGGCAUCUUAAUCUUGGAUUUCCUAGCCUCCAGAACCGUGUUAAAGAAGACUUCAGAGUGGAGGUGGUUUUCAGUACAGUCCUUGGGGGUGAGUAGACCUGGAGCAGAGAUUGGCCUACAGUCUAAAUGUGCACCCAUCUUGGAACUGUCAAAGAGCAUGGCAUAUUCAAGAAGGGUGAAUGCAGAACAUAGAGUGUGGAAAGAGGCUUAAGGAAGUCAAUUCGGCAAUAGAAUUUGAAGAGCCUUGCAUGAUAUGUCAAGAGACUUAAGUGCUGUGGUGCAAUCAUGGCUCUUUGUAACUUCAAACUCCCAGGCUCGAGUGAUCCUCCCAUGUCAGCCUCCUGAGUAACUGGGACUACAGGUGCACACCAUUAUGCCCAGGUAAUUUUCACCUUUUUGUAGAGAAGGGGUCUAACUAUGUUGUCCAGGCUGGUCUCAAAUUCCUGGUCUCAAGCAAUCCUCCUGCCUUGGCCUCCAAAAUUUCUGGGAUUACAGGCAUUGGUAACCAUGCUCAGGCCCUCUGUUUAUUUUUUAACUGCAUGUUUUUAACAUUAAACCAUAUAUUGCUUGCUUUUGCAUGUUGUCUUUAACUUUCCAUAAGUGGAUUAAUACCAUAUGUAUUCAGGACUUAGUGUUGUUCGCUCAGUAUUAGGUUUCAGGGGUUUAGAUAUAUUGAUGCAGGUAAUUAAUUGACUUUCCAUUGCUCUCUAGCAUUUCAUUGUAUAAUCACACCCUGAUUUACUUGUAUAUUAUAUUUUUAAUUGCUACUUGCUAUUAUAAACAAUGCAGUUUUGAAUGUUCUUAAUUACAUCUCCUGAUGUGUGUGUGUACAUAUUUCUUUAGGAUUUAAACCUAGAAAUUGAAUUUGUGGAUCAUAAGAAUUGUAACUGUUCAAAUAUA
rnacentral:lncRNA from 10 species